GGUUCCAUGGUGUAAUGGUUAGCACUCUGGACCUUGAAUCCAGUGAUUCAAGUUCAAUCCUUGGUGGAACCG